GAUGAACGCUGGCGGCGUGCCUAAUACAUGCAAGUCGAGCGAACAGACGAGGAGCUUGCUCCUUUGACGUUAGCGGCGGACGGGUGAGUAACACGUAGGUAACCUACCUAUAAGACUGGGAUAACUUCGGGAAACCGGAGCUAAUACCGGAUAAUAUUUCGAACCGCAUGGUUCGAUAGUGAAAGAUGGCUUUGCUAUCACUUAUAGAUGGACCUGCGCCGUAUUAGCUAGUUGGUAAGGUAACGGCUUACCAAGGCAACGAUACGUAGCCGACCUGAGAGGGUGAUCGGCCACACUGGAACUGAGACACGGUCCAGACUCCUACGGGAGGCAGCAGUAGGGAAUCUUCCGCAAUGGGCGAAAGCCUGACGGAGCAACGCCGCGUGAGUGAUGAAGGUCUUCGGAUCGUAUAACUCUGUUAUUAGGGAAGAACAAACGUGUAAGUAACUGUGCACGUCUUGACGGUACCUAAUCAGAAAGCCACGGCUAACUACGUG
rnacentral:rRNA from 1 species